UCAUUUCGAAAAGUGCUUGGGAGCGGAA
rnacentral:sRNA from 1 species